GAAGAUUACCCGCAGCUGGCACCUAGUUGCACCUUACCUGGAUAAAAUUUUUUCUAUCGAUGCUGCUGGUAAAAAGAGACCUGUCCAAGACAGCACUGAACGAACUAGUAUGGUGAAGAAGUUGCGACAUGAAGGUGAUGUUGAGGCUACUGAAAGGCCAGGUAACACAGAACAACACUGUGCUUGUUGUUGCAGAAAAGCGGUUAGUCUUUUAAGCAAAACAGAUAGGGUACACCCAAACAAUGUUCAUCUUCAGUCAUGCAUGAUCCUCGCAAGCUUUGGAUACUGACGUACAUUUGCAAACGCACUCAGACUGAUGACAUCAAGAAAUCUAUAUUUGUUAUUUACAUUAUAU